AUAAUAUUCCUCCGUCCGAAAAUACUUGUCCCAGAAAUAGAUGUAUCUAGACUUAUUUUAGUUAUAGAUACAUCUAUUUUAUACAUUUCUAGGACAAGUAUUUCCGGACAGAGGGAGUACUCC
rfam:Hordeum vulgare subsp. vulgare, WGS project CAJW01000000 data, contig: morex_contig_90476